rnacentral:rRNA from 1 species
GGGCCUACGAGACGCAGCAGUGGGGAAUAUUGCACAAUGGGGGAAACCCUGAUGCAGCAACGCCGCGUGAGUGAAGAAGUAUUUCGGUAUGUAAAGCUCUAUCAGCAGGGAAGAAGAUGACGGUACCUGAUUAAGAAGCCCCGGCUAACUACGUGCCAGCAGCCGCGGUAAUACGUAGGGGGCAAGCGUUAUCCGGAUUUACUGGGUGUAAAGGGAGCGCAGACGGCAGCGCAAGUCUGGAGUGAAAGCCCGGGGCCCAACCCCGGACCUGCUCUGGACACUGUGCGGCUAGAGUACUGGCGGGG